ncrna:Ornithorhynchus anatinus (platypus) microRNA oan-mir-1421n precursor (oan-mir-1421n-1)
UGGUGUGAGGUGGUCACAUGAGUUGCAGUGCGAUAUGGGAAUAUGCUGCAUCCCGUGUGACCUCCCUACACGGU